UACGAAGGGGGCUAGCGUUGCUCGGAAUCACUGGGCGUAAAGGGUGCGUAGGCGGGUCUUUAAGUCAGGGGUGAAAUCCUGGAGCUCAACUCCAGAACUGCCUUUGAUACUGAGGAUCUUGAGUAUGGGAGAGGUGAGUGGAGCUGCGAGUGUAGAGGUGAAAUUCGUAGAUAUUCGCAAGAACACCAGUGGCGAAGGCGGCUCACUGGCCCAUUACUGACGCUGAGGCACGAAAGCGUGGGGAGCAAACAGG
rnacentral:rRNA from 1 species